rnacentral:misc_RNA from 1 species
UCCUCUGUGAUGGAAAGAACUUUCUUUGUGCGCGAGCGCAGCCAUGAGCGCACAUUUCGAGCCAAAACAAAACUCAACAGGUCUGAUGAC